CCGUCGAUAGCUCAGUUGGCAGAGCGGUGGACUGUAGAGGUGUUAAAGCAGCAAUCCAUAGGUCGCUGGUUCGACUCCGGCUCGACGGA
rnacentral:tRNA from 1 species